AAGCCAGAAGAUGGUGAAGGAUCCCCUGGAACUGGAGUUAAGGAAGAGUACCAGUGAGAGGUGACUUACAGAAGGAGAAAUAACUCAAAUGCAGCUGUAACCCCCAAAGCCCACCAGCCUGAGUGACGACCCAAGAGAUGUGCAACCCUGGACUCCCUUCACAACUUCGGAGCGGCUCAGCAGGAGUGAAUGUUUCAAUUUGUGGGAAAUUGCUACCCAACAUAUGGGCAGCGUGGAAGAUGGGCAUUGCUCUCAGAGCAAGUCU